GACGAACGCUGGCGGCGUGCUUAACACAUGCCAGUCGAACGGAAAGGCCCUGCUUUUGUGGGGUGCUCGAGUGGCGAACGGGUGAGUAACACGUGAGUAACCUGCCCUUGACUUUGGGAUAACUUCAGGAAACUGGGGCUAAUACCGGGUAGGAGCUCCUGCUGCAUGGUGGGGGUUGGAAAGUUUCGGCGGUUGGGGAUGGACUCGCGGCUUAUCAGCUUGUUGGUGGGGUAGUGGAUUACCAAGGCUUUGACGGGUAGCCGGCCUGAGAGGGGGACCGGCGACAUUGGGACUGAGAGACGGCGCAGACGCCUACGGGAGGCAGCAGGGGGGAACAUUGCACAAUGGGCGGAAGCCUGAUGCAGCAACGCCGCGUGCGGGAUGACGGCCUUCGGGUUGUAAACAGCUGUCGACUGUGACGAAGCGUGAGUGACGGUAAUGGGUAAAGAAGCAACGGCUAACUACGUG
rnacentral:rRNA from 1 species